GACGAACGCUGGCGGCGUGCCUAAUACAUGCAAGUAGAACGCACAGUUUAUACCGUAGCUUGCUCCACCAUAGACUGUGAGUUGCGAACGGGUGAGUAACGCGUAGGUAACCUGCCUGGUAGCGGGGGAUAACUAUUGGAAACGAUAGCUAAUACCGCAUAAUAUUAAUUAUUGCAUGAUAAUUGAUUGAAAGAUGCAACUGCAUCACUACCAGAUGGACCUGCGUUGUAUUAGCUAGUAGGUGAGGUAACGGCUCACCUAGGCGACGAUACAUAGCCGACCUGAGAGGGUGAUCGGCCACACUGGGACUGAGACACGGCCCAGACUCCUACGGGAGGCAGCAGUAGGGAAUCUUCGGCAAUGGACGAAAGUCUGACCGAGCAACGCCGCGUGAGUGAAGAAGGUUUUCGGAUCGUAAAGCUCUGUUGUAAGAGAAGAACGGGUGUGAGAGUGGAAAGUUCACACUGUGACGGUAUCUUACCAGAAAGGGACGGCUAACUACGUG
rnacentral:rRNA from 1 species